GCUAAACGCGAAGAACCUUACCAGCUUUUGACAUGUCCGGUUUGAGAAACAGAGAUGUAUCUCUUCAGUUCGGCUGGCCGGAACACAGGUGCUGCAUGGCUGUCGUCAGCUCGUGUCGUGAGAUGUUGGGUUAAGUCCCGCAACGAGCGCAACCCUCGCCCUUAGUUGCCAUCAUUUAGUUGGGCACUCUAAGGGGACUGCCGGUGAUAAGCCGCGAGGAAGGUGGGGAUGACGUCAAGUCCUCAUGGCCCUUACAGGCUGGGCUACACACGUGCUACAAUGGCGGUGACAAUGGGAGGCAAUGGGGCAACCCUGCGCAAAUCUCAAAAAGCCGUCUCAGUUCGGAUUGCACUCUGCAACUCGAGUGCAUGAAGUUGGAAUCGCUAGUAAUCGUGGAUCAGCAUGCCACGGUGAAUACGUUCCCGGGUCUUGUACACACCG
rnacentral:rRNA from 1 species